GACGAACGCUGGCGGCGUGCUUAACACAUGCAAGUCGAACGGAGUGGCGAACGGGUGAGUAACACGUGGGUGACCUACCCUGCACUUCGGGAUAAGCCUGGGAAACUGGGUCUAAUACCGGAUAGUGUGGGAUGGGCCCUCGGCCUAUCAGCUUGGUGGGUGGGUAAUGGCCUACCACGGCGGCGACGGGUAGCCGGCCUGCGAGGGUGGACGGCCACAUGGGGACUGAGACACGGCUCAGAGUCCUACGGGAGGCAGUGGUGGGGAAUAUUGCACAAUGGGCGGAAGCGUGAGGCAGCGACGCCGCGGGGGGGAUGACGGCCUUCGGGUUGUAAACUCCUUUCACCAUCGACGCGGUAGAUGGAGAAGAAGCACCGGCUAACUACGUGCCAGCAGCCGCGGUAAUUC
rnacentral:rRNA from 1 species